GACAGAGGGUGCAAACGUUGUUCGGAUUUACUGGGCGUAAAGCGCGUGUAGGCGGCUUUGCAAGUCGGAUGUGAAAUCCCCAGGCUUAACCUGGGAACUGCAUUCGAGACUGCAUUGCUAGAGUAUGGGAGAGGGAAGUGGAAUUUCCGGUGUAGCGGUGAAAUGCGUAGAUAUCGGAAGGAACAUCAGUGGCGAAAGCGACUUCCUGGACCAAUACUGACGCUCAUGUGCGAAAGCGUGGGGAGCAAACAGG
rnacentral:rRNA from 1 species